rnacentral:rRNA from 1 species
GCCUUUACUGCAAGUCGAGCGGACAGAAGGGAGCUUGCUCCGGAUGUAGCGGCGGACGGGUGAGUAACACGUGGGUAACUGCUGUAAGACUGGGAUAACUCCGGGAAACCGGAGCUAAUACCGGAUAGUUCCUUGAACCGCAUGGUUCAAGGAUGAAAGACGGUUUCGGCUGUCACUUACAGAUGGACCGCGGCGCAUAGCUAGUUGGUGAGGUAACGGCUCACCAGGCGACGAUGCGUAGCCGACCUGAGAGGGUGAUCGGCCACACUGGGAUUGAGACACGGCCCAGACUCCUACGGGAGGCAGCAGUAGGGAAUCUUCCGCAAUGGACGAAAGUCUGACGGAGCAACGCCGCGUGAGUGAUGAAGGUUUUCGGAUCGUAAAGCUCUGUUGUUAGGGAAGAACAAGUGCAAGAGUAACUGCUUGCACCUUGACGGUACCUAACCAGAAAGCCACGGCUAACUACGUGCCAGCAGCCGCGGUAAUACGUAGGUGGCAGCGUUGUCCGGAAUUAUUGGGCGUAAAGGGCUCGCAGGCGGUUUCUUAAGUCUGAUGUGAAAGCCCCCGGCUCAACCGGGGAGGGUCAUUGGAAACUGGGAAACUUGAGUGCAGAAGAGGAGAGUGGAAUUCCACGUGUAGCGGUGAAAUGCGUAGAGAUGUGGAGGAACACCAGUGGCGAAGGCGACUCUCUGGUCUGUAACUGACGCUGAGGAGCGAAAGCGUGGGGAGCGAACAGGAUUAGAUACCCUGGUAGUCCACGCCGUAAACGAUGAGUGCUAAGUGUUAGGGGGUUUCCGCCCCUUAGUGCUGCAGCUAACGCAUUAAGCACUCCGCCUGGGGAGUACGGUCGCAAGACUGAAACUCAAAGGAAUUGACGGGGGCCCGCACAAGCGGUGGAGCAUGUGGUUUAAUUCGAAGCAACGCGAAGAACCUUACCAGGUCUUGACAUCCUCUGACAACCCUAGAGAUAGGGCUUUCCCUUCGGGGACAGAGUGACAGG